rnacentral:rRNA from 1 species
GAUGAACGCUAGCUACAGGCUUAACACAUGCAAGUCGAGGGGCAGCAUUUUAGUUUGCUUGCAAACUGAAGAUGGCGACCGGCGCACGGGUGAGUAACACGUAUCCAACCUGCCGAUAACUCCGGGAUAGCCUUUCGAAAGAAAGAUUAAUACCGGAUAGUAUACGAAUAUCGCAUGAUAUUUUUAUUAAAGAAUUUCGGUUAUCGAUGGGGAUGCGUUCCAUUAGUUUGUUGGCGGGGUAACGGCCCACCAAGACUACGAUGGAUAGGGGUUCUGAGAGGAAGGUCCCCCACAUUGGAACUGGGACACGGUCCAAACUCCUACGGGAGGCAGCAGUGAGGAAUAUUGGUCAAUGGGCGCGAGCCUGAACCAGCCAAGUAGCGUGAAGGAUGAAGGCUCUAUGGGUCGUAAACUUCUUUUAUAUGGGAAUAAAGUUUUCCACGUGUGGAAUUUUGUAUGUACCAUAUGAAUAAGGAUCGGCUAACUCCGUGCCAGCAGCCGCGGUAAUACGGAGGAUCCGAGCGUUAUCCGGAUUUAUUGGGUUUAAAGGGAGCGUAGGUGGAUUGUUAAGUCAGUUGUGAAAGUUUGCGGCUCAACCGUAAAAUUGCAGUUGAAACUGGCAGUCUUGAGUACAGUAGAGGUGGGCGGAAUUCGUGGUGUAGCGGUGAAAUGCUUAGAUAUCACGAAGAACUCCGAUUGCGAAGGCAGCUCACUAGACUGUCACUGACACUGAUGCUCGAAAGUGUGGGUAUCAAACAGGAUUAGAUACCCUGGUAGUCCACACAGUAAACGAUGAAUACUCGCUGUUUGCGAUAUACAGUAAGCGGCCAAGCGAAAGCAUUAAGUAUUCCACCUGGGGAGUACGCCGGCAACGGUGAAACUCAAAGGAAUUGACGGGGGCCCGCACAAGCGGAGAAACAUGUGGUUUAAUUCGAUGAUACGCGAGGAACCUUACCCGGGCUUAAAUUGCAACAGAAUAUAUUGGAAACAGUAUAGCCGUAAGGCUGUUGUGAAGGUGCUGCAUGGUUGUCGCCAGCUCGUGCCGUGAGGUGUCGGCUUAAGUGCCAUAACGAGCGCAACCCUUAUCUUUAGUUACUAACAGGUGAUGCUGAGGACUCUAGAGAGACUGCCGUCGUAAGAUGUGAGGAAGGUGGGGAUGACGUCAAAUCAGCACGGCCCUUACGUCCGGGGCUACACACGUGUUACAAUGGGGGGUACAGAAGGCGGCUACCUGGUGACAGGAUGCUAAUCCCAAAAACCUCUCUCAGUUCGGAUCGAAGUCUGCAACCCGACUUCGUGAAGCUGGAUUCGCUAGUAAUCGCGCAUCAGCCAUGGCGCGGUGAAUACGUUCCCGGGCCUUGUACACACCGCCCGUCAAGCCAUGAAAGCCGGGGGUACCUGAAGUACGUAACCGCAAGGAGCGUCCUAGGGUAAAACUGGUAAUUGGGGCUAAGUCAUAACAA